UACGUAGGAGGCAAGCGUUGUCCGGAAUUACUGGGCGUAAAGCGCGUGUAGGUGGUGGGACAAGUCUGCUGUGAAAGCGCCUGGCUUAACCGGGCGAGGUCGGCGGAAACUGUCCGACUAGAGGACGGUAGAGGGGGGUGGAAUUCCCGGUGUAGUGGUGAAAUGCGUAGAGAUCGGGAGGAACACCUGUGGCGAAGGCGGCCCCCUGGGCCGGCCCUGACACUGAGGAGCGAAAGCGUGGGGAGCAAACAGG
rnacentral:rRNA from 1 species